UACGUAGGGGGCAAGCGUUGUCCGGAAUUAUUGGGCGUAAAGAGCGUGUAGGCGGCCAGAUAAGUCCGCUGUGAAAUCUCGAGGCUCAACUUCGAGCUGUCGGUGGAAACUAUCUGGCUAGAGUCCGGAAGAGGAGAAUGGAAUUCCUGGUGUAGCGGUGAAAUGCGCAGAUAUCAGGAAGAACACCUAUGGCGAAAGCAGCUCUCUGGGACGGUACUGACGCUGAGACGCGAAAGCGUGGGGAGCGAACAGG
rnacentral:rRNA from 1 species